rnacentral:lncRNA from 1 species
AAAUUACUAAUGUCUCAUUUUCUCAGCGUUCUCAUCCCUGAUUUCCAUGUAUCUGUGAGCAGGGGUCAAGAAAGAAGAUCUUCAUGCUUGGUGUAAGGAUGCAUCAUCUCCAGCCUCAAUGUACACCAUCGUGUGAAAGGACCCAUCAACAGCUGUAGAAUCUCUGCUGAGUCCUGGCUGCUCCUUUCAGGCAGCCUUCCUGGAGAGCACUGAAUCCAGCUCCUGCCAGAAGGCUAUAACAUGGGGUCCAUACUUUGUCUCCAGUAAAACUUGGAAUGCUGCCCAAUCCAAACAGGGCUAGGGGGCCAUUUGCAGAAGAAUUGAUUUCAGGGAUUAGGCCAGUGGAAUUUGUCCCAUGAAGUCUGUAUUUUGUAGUCACAGCCUGGUUGGAGGAAGUUAGAUUUUUUUUCUUUCUUCAUUGUUAGAAGAUUAUGGAAUCAUCAUCAUGAGUUGUUCUGCUCACAAAGAUUGGUAGGUGUGGGAUCUCCAAGGUAUUGUCUAGACCCUUUGUAUUUCUUUUUCCUUUUUUUUUUUUUUUGGUACCGGGGAUCGAACUUGGUGCCUUGCACUUGCAAAGUAAGCAACAGAACCACUGAGCUAAAUCCCCGGCCUCGUAGACCCUUUGUAAUAGGGCCACGUUUGAGAUGACAGCUAUCUAAUAUUCAGGAAGUAGCUUUUACCUAUGGUCCUGGAUCCUUAUUGAUGCUGUUCUGGGUUAAUUAAAAGAGGCCCAUAUUUCUACUCUAGCUCAGAUACAAAUAGAACCUGCAUAGGGGCAGGAGGUUUUAUGACCAGAUAUACAAGAGUGGCACAGACAAGUGGGACCGUCAAGAGAAAGGACAAAAGAAAUAAAACCAUGAGGCAAGCUUGCCACAAAAUGUGAUGUCUAAUGACAAGGGCCUCUUUUUCACUGGAGGAAGUUAAACAAAUGAGAGGUAAGGACCUUUGGGAAGAGUGACAAUUCACUGAUGACAGAGAUCAAGAAGAAUGACUAUCCCAUCUCAUCCUGGGAAGGUAAGCAGAAUAAGGGGUAGAAUAAUGGCUCUCAAGCUGGCUCAGCAAGUUACCUGGACAAUUUUAUAAGCAGGAAAACUAAUCUAGGCCACAAUUUCUGAUUUAAGCCUGCAGAGCCAAAUGUAUUUAAAACGUUUUCAGCUCCACCCCAUGUGAGAAAGCAGACCUAGAGUGGCACCCCUCUCCCCAGUGUGAGAGAGCAGACCUGUGAUGGAGGAGUGCUGCCUCGCACCCAGGGGAGCACAGCACAGGGCAGUGGAGGCAAUGACUAACCAACCGACCCAAUCCUGGACUCCUGGAUGAAGACAACACCUGGGGAGAGAAGGGAGCAACCAGACCCCAUGACUGUUGACAUUAAGUCCAACAGCCCACUUGAACCUCUGCCUUACAGCCUACAUCCAGCAGAGAACAGAGGGCUGAUCUCAUUCCCCAUUCCUGGUAGAAACAAGGACAUGCUUGGCUUUAACCAUAACCACAAGUCUGGGGGGAAUGAACAGAGGGGCCUCUAGUGCAAGGAAG